CAUCCUCCUCUAUACUAGAGACACAAGAGAAAGAGAAAGAGGAAGAAAAUGAAAAGGAAUUUCACUACCCUUCCAAGUCCAACAUCAUCAGUAGCAGUAUCUGUUUCGAAAUCGGACCUCCUCGUUGCAAUUCUUUCUUCACUUUUUUGAAAUUGAUGAUAUUGCCUCUCGCCGCGACUUCACCCGCUUUUCUGAGUAAGUUUAAUUACUGUAUAGUAUACUACUAAGUACUAAACUCCUUUCUCUUCUUCUUCUUCUACAAUCUACAGUAAUUCUUCUUUUCCCCCAAAUCCGCUUUCCUUCCAGUUCCACCCAUGAUGAUAUCUCUUCUGUUUUAAUUAAGUUAUACUAUUGGAGUAUUUAAUUAAUUAAUUUUGCCUAUCCGCAGGUGUUUGGAUUCCAUUAUUCAUGCUAAACGAGCUUGGAGGGCUC
rnacentral:lncRNA from 1 species